CUUUUAUUGGACGUUGAUCGUCACAUGUUACGUUUUUAUUGGAGGUUGGCAUCAAUUAGGUGCACAAAAUUAACGUCAAAUAAAAGCACGACACAUGGCGGUCAACAUCC
rfam:Glycine max cultivar Williams 82 chromosome 6, whole genome shotgun sequence.